AUUCCCAGUGUUUUGAAAACUCUCAGGAAAAUGGUUUUUCUCACCCACAUGUACUUGGUAUCAGGACAUGUUAGGGCUAAGAAGCCUGAGGGGUAGAGGGGGAAGGACGGGCCCAGGAUGGAAACACUGUCACACUGGACUGGUGGGUCCUGGGCACUGAGUACAACCCCAUCACUGGUGGAGGGCUCCAUCAGGUGCCAGGAAUCUCAGAGACAGGACUGCAGCUUGGUCUUCCCCUGCCCCAGCACUUCCACUCAGACCGUAAACAUAGCCAGCUGCUCUACUGAGCUCCAAAAGGAAGCGCUCAUUCUGUUGGAGGUUGUGAACAGAAUGUACCCUUGACCUGGAACACUCUCCUCCCCUCUUCCCAACACAUACCUUUGUUCAUUCAGCAACCAUGCUACCCAGAAUUGACUGGGCAGGAAAAUAACAUUUGAGUAGGGAGGAAGCCUUUCAUCCUGCUUGCAUUCUGGCCCUCAUUGAAAUUUCAUCUGUGGCUAUUCACAAUCAGGUCCCCACAUUAGCUGCCAAGUUGCCUGGAAUCCUGCACAAACAAGGGUGGAUACAAAUUCUAUUAUGUCCACAAUACUAACAUUAGCUUCUGGGUGUUCAUCCUGGACAGUCUCUUUCUGCCUGCAUAUGGUGGCCAGGUUCCCAGGAGGAGAGGGCAGGAGUGUUCUGUGCCUCCUGAGGCUCCCAGGCCUGGUCACCACUCUCUCAGGCCAGAGCAUUAUGGA
rnacentral:lncRNA from 1 species